UCGAGCGACUACAGAAUAAGAUCCAUGUUCGGUCAGUUUGGGUCUUAUGGACCAUUCAGAACAUUCACUUCUGGAGAGGCGCCGACAUUAGCUCUGGGACACGGUUACAAGCUAAUCUGUAGAUGGCUAUGCUAUGUUAGACAUCCGGUCUAACCAACAGGUGUUCAAUGUCUGGCCUUCGGGCCGUUUGCGGGCCUCGGGAGGAUUUUAUUUGGCCAAAUUUGGCAAAUGCUAACCGGUGACAUAUUGUUUAGAUUCACCAUUUACAAAUACGUUUUCUACAGAUAUCACAAUGAUGGACUGGAAGUUAUCAAAUCUGUUUAAUCAAAACCCAAGUCGGUCGUGAAAGAUGACCGCCAACACUGAGCCUGGUUCUGGUUCUGCUGGAAGUUUCUUCCUGUUAAAGAAUCUGGAUUUACAAAUGAAACGCAGAAAAACCACUUUCAUCUGAAAACUGGACUCUGGACUUUCAUGGUAAGUUUUCAAAUGUUUUCAGCUCCACUUAGGCAAUAAGAACAAAACAAAUGAACUGAACAAAGUUUUAAUUCACUAUAUUAUCAUAUUGUUACUGUUAUAAUAUUCCACAUACUACAACAGGGACAAGGUAAAAAAUAUAUAUUUUUCAUACGCUACAUUUUAAAUUUCACACAAUACUGGUCCAAGGAAGUUACAAAGAAAUCUGAAACGUUUUCUGGCAUUUAGCAAAUAGAAAUAAUUUUGGUAAUUAGGUUUAGCAUUAACUGACCUGAAAUAAGAGAAAUUUGGUCCAAUUUAACUUCAGAUGGGGGAAGAAAAAAAACCUUAUAAUCUUUCAGCUGUAAAUAACACUUUCCACAUUCGGGCUUUUAAUCAAACCUUAGGCCGAACUUUACUACAAAUAUCAAGCACUUUCCAAACCUCCAAGGAUUUUCAAGAAUAUCAAGGACCGACCCGCAUAAACAUUGGUCCAGUUUUCUUCCACUUCACUGCUAAGCUCUAUUUUGUGUUGGUCUUUCUCUUAAAAUCCUAGUAAAUAUUUUAAAAUCUCUGGUUGGAACAAGAGGAAAUGUAAAAAAAAGUUGGAGGAGGAUGAAUAUUUUUUCGCUUUAAUUUACAUCCAAACUGGGAGAAAAGUUCAGGAAUUGUUCCGUGGAGCAAAAGCG